UUUUGAUUUUUUUUCACCUAUUUCAACCUGAUGCUCUUUCAACGCCGUCAUUAUAAUCAAAUUCGAAUACUAAUUAACUUUCUACUAAUAGCAUCAUGCAUGAUGAUCACCGGUUAUAUUUUUUUUUUUUUUGGCUUCAAGCAAAAUAAGAGAGACGAAAAAUUUUUUUUCCUACUCUUUCAACGCCAUCAUAUGAUCACAUUAUCCGGAUCCGGAUUAAUAAAUAAAAAAGCAUUAUUCAUAUCUUAAAACAUCGAUCAACAACAACAACAACAACCACAAAUAAACAACGAUCAAAAUCGAUGAUGACAACACAAAUAAACAAGCUCAAAAGAUGGCCAAAAAAAUUUUUUUAUUCAUCAUUCAUUUCAUUCAUCGCUACCAAAUUUGAAAAAUUGUUUUUUUUUCUUGUACUCUGGACGCAUAAAUAUACACAAUACCGAAACAUGAAAUAAAACGGAAAAAAAAAACAUAAGUGAAGAGAAACAAUCUGACAGCCAGCCAUUUGAUUAUGAUGAUGAUGAUGAUGAUUACUGGAUUUUGCUGUGGUCCUUCUUAUGAUGAUGAACAAAUUAUCAAACCAUUGGCGACUUAAAAUAAACAUGUGUUCUAUUUAUUAUUAAUGAAAAAAAAAGAAUGAACUCGUUUUCAAAAUGGACCAAAUGUCUUUUCCAACUUGAAAAAAAACAAGAUUUUUUUUCAAAAAAAAACCGGGAAUUUCAUUCAAUUUUUGGACUGUGACUCCUACACACACCGACCCACCUACAGUCAUGAUUUUCCAAAUGAAUUCUGCGCUAUUUUGUUUAUCAAUUAUUGAAAUAUUUGAACCGUUGAAAAUGAAAAAAAAAUUUAAUUUCCUGUGUCAUCAUUAUCAUAACUUCAAAAUCACCAUAAAUACAAAAAUAAGAUGCAACGAAUGUUAAAAUAGCGAAGAAAUUUUUUUUUUUUUUUGGUUUUCUUACGAAACACAACACAACAACACUUUUCUGUAUUUUUUUUUCUUUCGAGGCUAACCACACAUAUGAUAUAUAUCCACAUAAGAUUAACACCGCUUAACACCACUAAGGUCAGAAAGUGAAUGAUGUGAAAUGUUUGUUUUCGAUUCCAUGAUGUUGUAUUUUAUUUUUUUUUUUAAUUUUUUCUUUUCGAUGCUGUAACAAUGAAAUGAAAAAAAAACGAAAUGUUACUCAGUUACCGCAAAAUGAAUGACAAAGAUUUGAGACACCAAAUUGCUA